rnacentral:tRNA from 1 species
GCCGAAGUGGUGGAACUGGUAGACACGCUAUCUUGAGGGGGUAGUGGCGUAAGCCGUGCGGGUUCGAGUCCCGCCUUCGGCACCA